rnacentral:rRNA from 1 species
AUGCACGCUAGCGGCAGGCUUCAUCCAUGCAAGUCGUGGGGCAGCAGGACUGUAGCAAUACAGUUGCUGGCGCCCGGCAAACGGGUGCGGAACACGUACGCAACUUACCCUGAACUGGGGGAUAGCCCGGGGAAACCCGGAUUAAUACCCCGUAAUAUAAUGGAGUGGCAUCACUUUAUUAUUAAAGCUCCGGCGGUUCGGGAUGGGCGUGCGGCUGAUUAGGUAGUUGGUUGAGGUAACGGCUCACCAAGCCUACGAUCAGUAACCGGUGUGAGAGCACGACCAGUCACACGGGCACUGAGACACGGGCCCGACUCCUACGGGAGGCAGCAGUAAGGAAUAUUGGGCAAUGGAGGCAACUCUGACCCAGCCAUGCCGAGUGGAGGAUGAGGGCGCUCUGGGUUGUAAACUUCUUUUAUAGGGGACGAAACCUGUGUAUUCUUACGCAGUUGACGGUACCCGAGGAAUAAGCACCGGCUAACUCCGUG